CUUCAGUGAUGAUGCUUGAUGACGAGUCUGAUGGGAUGUGAUCUGUAUUAGGAUUCCUGAUGCAGUAGGCAUGUUCUGUGCUGCUGGUUUUGGGGUCCUGAACGGCAUCUCCCUUCAAUUGAUGACUUAGAGGCAUUUGUCUGAGAAGG